CUGUCGAUUUCCUCGUUAGGUUUUUAAUGUCUAGUUAGGGUUUUGAUUCCUAUAUUUUGUCUCAUUUUCUAUUUCCUCGUUAGGGUUUUAAUGUCUAAUCAGGGCUUUGAUUUCUAAUUAGGAUGCAUAUUUCUAAUAAUGGUUUUGAUUUCGUUAGAAUCUGAUUAUUGUCUUGAAAUUCUAACGAAUCAGAAAAACCUCAAAUUCAUAGUAAGGUAAGUGGCAAUCCAAUCACCGUUUGGGAAUUACAAAAUACUUUCUCAUCUAGGUCUCUGCAGCAUGAAGCUCACAAAGCAGGGGUCAAGGUGGUUCACCAAGUGAGUUUUAUAACAUUUUCCUAUUUGUAGUGUUUGAAGUACAUUUCUGAGAACUGAAAUUGAUCUUUCCUUGAGAGAGAAACAAGUACUUGGAUAAACUCUAGCAAUCGGUAUUUUUUCGUUUGGUGUCUCAUUACCAUGCGUAUAUGCUUUUAAUAACAUAUUGGCAGUGUAAAAGAUGCCGAGAAAGCCAUUAGUUCUGGUGUAGAUGGAAUUAUUGUCCAAGGACACGAAGCAUGUGGACAUGUCAUUGGGAAGAUCAUAUAUGCAUUGUGAAGAAGCAUAUGAUGACCGAAGGUCACAAAAGCUACCUUUGACGGUUCCCCCUCUAGUAUUAUUUGUACUCAAGCUUGGUUCUGCUUUUAGAGUUAAUCUAACGUUCAGCUGGUCGGGGGAAGUUGAGAUUCAAACGACAACCAUACAUAUAUCACUGACGGAAUAUGUGCAGUUGUUUUGAUUUCCGAUGAAGAUCGCAUUGGAUGGGUAAGUAGACGAAUUAAUGUUCGUGUGUUGUGUGUGUCUAAACCAAUACGAUUCAGAAACCCAUCCAAUCAAUAUAUGUUAUCUUUUCUUAGUUAAUCUAUGAUAUCAUUGGAAUUGAAUUACCUACCAGUUUGACAUUCUGGUGCACAUCUAUAUCUAUACAACACAAGAUUAACGAGCUAUUGCAUCAAGGCAAUAAAGACGAGAGCUAAACAACCCACUGAGUCAGAAGUAUAUGUUGAUGUUUGAAGAGAAAGCGAAGGCAACGUUGACGUGCUACAGCCACUCCUGAAUCCUGAUUCUAAUAGUGAAGCACUUCAAGAAUGAUACAAGCUCAAGAUGACCAAAUAGGCGCACAAAAUGAGGCUAUUAAAAAGUUGAAAGAAGAUAAUGAAAAGUUCACACUAAACAUGAUCCAGGAACAACAAAAUCUGGUGUAGACUCGGGCAA